ACGCGAAGAACCUUACCNACUCUUGACAUCCAGAGAAUUCGCUAGAGAUAGCUUAGUGCCUUCGGGAACUCUGAGACAGGUGCUGCAUGGCUGUCGUCAGCUCGUGUUGUGAAAUGUUGGGUUAAGUCCCGCAACGAGCGCAACCCUUAUCCUUAUUUGCCAGCACGUAAUGGUGGGAACUCUAGGGAGACUGCCGGUGAUAAACCGGAGGAAGGUGGGGACGACGUCAAGUCAUCAUGGCCCUUACGAGUAGGGCUACACACGUGCUACAAUGGCGAGUACAGAGGGUUGCAAAGCCGCGAGGUGGAGCUAAUCUCACAAAGCUCGUCGUAGUCCGGAUUGGAGUCUGCAACUCGACUCCAUGAAGUCGGAAUCGCUAGUAAUCGUGGAUCAGAAUGCCACGGUGAAUACGUUCCCGGGCCUUGUACACACCGCCCGUCACACCAUGGGAGUGGGCUGCAAAAGAAGUGGGUAGCUUAACNU
rnacentral:rRNA from 1 species